CAAUUUCAGCUCCAAAACCAUUGGUUAGCUGAGCUUCAUGUGUAAUUAAAAGUCUUCCCGUUUUUUCGACAG
rnacentral:antisense_RNA from 1 species